GGUUGUGGCUCACUGGUAGAGUGCUUGCCUAGCAUUCAUGAGGCACUGGGUUUGAUCCCUGGCACCA
rnacentral:tRNA from 1 species